GGUUUAAUUCGAUGAUACGCGAGGAACCUUACCCGGGCUUGAAUUGCAGAGGAAGGAUUUGGAGACAAUGACGCCCUUCGGGGCCUCUGUGAAGGUGCUGCAUGGUUGUCGUCAGCUCGUGCCGUGAGGUGUCGGCUUAAAGUGCCAUAACGAGCGCAACCCCUCUCCUUAGUUGCCAUCAGGUUAAGCUGGGCACUCUGGGGACACUGCCACCGUAAGGUGUGA
rnacentral:rRNA from 1 species